rnacentral:tRNA from 1 species
GCCCGGGUGGCUUAGCUGGACAUAGCGCCGCACUCAUAGGGUUCCGAGCUUCGGUGCGGAGUUCGCAUGUCCGAAACGGGGACUGCCGAGCCUCGAACCUGGGACAUGCGGAGAUCGAGGGUUCGAAGCCCUCCCCGGGCA